rnacentral:rRNA from 1 species
CUUGCUGGGUGGAUUAGUGGCGAACGGGUGAGUAACACGUGAGUAACCUGCCCUUAACUCUGGGAUAAGCCUGGGAAACUGGGUCUAAUACCGGAUAGGAGCGUCCACCGCAUGGUGGGUGUUGGAAAGAUUUAUCGGUUUUGGAUGGACUCGCGGCCUAUCAGCUUGUUGGUGAGGUAAUGGCUCACCAAGGCGACGACGGGUAGCCGGCCUGAGAGGGUGACCGGCCACACUGGGACUGAGACACGGCCCAGACUCCUACGGGAGGCAGCAGUGGGGAAUAUUGCACAAUGGGCGCAAGCCUGAUGCAGCGACGCCGCGUGAGGGAUGACGGCCUUCGGGUUGUAAACCUCUUUCAGUAGGGAAGAAGCGAAAGUGACGGUACCUGCAGAAGAAGCACCGGCUAACUACGUGCCAGCAGCCGCGGUAAUACGUAGGGUGCGAGCGUUAUCCGGAAUUAUUGGGCGUAAAGAGCUCGUAGGCGGUUUGUCGCGUCUGUCGUGAAAGUCCGGGGCUUAACCCCGGAUCUGCGGUGGGUACGGGCAGACUAGAGUGCAGUAGGGGAGACUGGAAUUCCUGGUGUAGCGGUGGAAUGCGCAGAUAUCAGGAGGAACACCGAUGGCGAAGGCAGGUCUCUGGGCUGUAACUGACGCUGAGGAGCGAAAGCAUGGGGAGCGAACAGGAUUAGAUACCCUGGUAG